CGCGCAUGCUGAUCCGCGAUUACUAGCGAUUCCAGCUUCACGCACUCGAGUUGCAGAGUACGAUCCGGACUACGAUCGGUUUUCUGGGAUUGGCUCCACCUCGCGGCUUGGCAACCCUCUGUUCCGACCAUUGUAUGACGUGUGAAGCCCUACCCAUAAGGGCCAUGAGGACUUGACGUCAUCCCCACCUUCCUCCGGUUUGUCACCGGCAGUCUCCCUAGAGUGCUCUUGCGUAGCAACUAGGGACAAGGGUUGCGCUCGUUGCGGGACUUAACCCAACAUCUCACGACACGAGCUGACGACAGCCAUGCAGCACCUGUGUUACGGCUCCCUUUCGGGCACCCUCACCUCUCAGCAAGGUUCCGUACAUGUCAAGGGUAGGUAAGGUUUUUCGCGUUGCAUCGAAUUAAUCCACAUCAUCCACCGCUUGUGCGGGUCCCCGUCAAUUCCUUUGAGUUUUAAUCUUGCGACCGUACUCCCCAGGCGGUCAACUUCACGCGUUAGCUACGUUACCAAGUCAAUGAAGACCCGACAACUAGUUGACAUCGUUUAGGGCGUGGACUACCAGGGUAUCUAAUCCUGUUUGCUCCCUCACGCUUUUCGUGCAUGAGCGUCAGUAUUGGCCCAGGGGGCUGCCUUCGCCAUCGGUAUUCCUCCACAUCUCUACGCAUUUCACUGCUACACGUGGAAUUCUACCCCCCUCUGCCAUACUCCAGCCCGCCAGUCACCAAUGCAGUUCCCAGGUUAAGCCCGGGGAUUUCACAUCGGUCUUAGCGGACCGCCUGCGCACGCUUUACGCCCAGUAAUUCCGAUUAACGCUUGCACCCUACGUAUUACCGCGGCUGCUGGCACGUAGUUAGCCGGUGCUUAUUCUUCCGGUACCGUCAUCCCCCCAGGGUAUUAGCCCAAAGGAUUUCUUUCCGGACAAAAGUGCUUUACAACCCGAAGGCCUUCUUCACACACGCGGCAUUGCUGGAUCAGGGUUGCCCCCAUUGUCCAAAAUUCCCCACUGCUGCCUCCCGUAGGAGUCUGGGCCGUGUCUCAGUCCCAGUGUGGCUGGUCGUCCUCUCAGACCAGCUACAGAUCGUCGCCUUGGUAGGCCUUUACCCCACCAACUAGCUAAUCUGCCAUCGGCCGCCCCUUGAGCGCGAGGUCCCGAAAGAUCCCCCGCUUUCCUCCUCAGAGCGUAUGCGGUAUUAAUCCGGCUUUCGCCGGGCUAUCCCCCACUCCAGGACACGUUCCGAUGUAUUACUCACCCGUUCGCCACUCGCCGCCAGGCCGAAGCCCGCGCUGCCGUCCGACUUGCAUGUGUAAGGCAUGCCGCCAGCGUUCAUUCUGAGCG
rnacentral:rRNA from 1 species